rfam:Nadsonia fulvescens var. elongata DSM 6958 unplaced genomic scaffold NADFTscaffold_5, whole genome shotgun sequence.
UUCCUUGUGGCCCAAUGGCAAGGCGUUCGGCUACGAUUUCUGUGAAUCAGAAACGUACGUUUAACGUGUGUUACAAGUCACUACCGAAAGAUUCCAGGUUCGACCCCUGGCAAGGAAG